CCUACGGGUGGCAGCAGUGAGGAAUAUUGGUCAAUGGCCGAGAGGCUGAACCAGCCAAGUCGCGUGAGGGAAGAAUGUCCUAUGGAUUGUAAACCUCUUUUGUCAGGGAGCAAAGUCACCCACGUGUGGGUGUUGGAGAGUACCUGAAGAAAAAGCAUCGGCUAACUCCGUGCCAGCAGCCGCGGUAAUACGGGGGAUGCGAGCGUUAUCCGGAUUUAUUGGGUUUAAAGGUUGCGUAGGCGGGUUCUCAAGUCAGCGGUAAAAUCGUGGAGCGCAACUCCAUCCAGCCGUUGAAACUGAUGAUCGGGAGUGGGCGAGAGGUAUGCGGAAUGCGAGGUGUAGGGGUGAAAUGCAUAGAUAUCACGAAGAAAGCC
rnacentral:rRNA from 1 species